GGCGGUGUAGCUCAGUCGGCUAGAGCAGAGGAAUCAUAAUCCUCGUGUCCGGGGUUCGAGUCCCUGCACCGCUA
rnacentral:tRNA from 3 species